UACGUAGGGCGCAAGCGUUGUCCGGAAUUAUUGGGCGUAAAGAGCUCGUAGGUGGCUUGUCACGUCGGGUGUGAAAGCUUGGGGCUUAACUCCAGGUCUGCAUUCGAUACGGGCUGGCUAGAGGUAGGUAGGGGAGAACGGAAUUCCUGGUGUAGCGGUGAAAUGCGCAGAUAUCAGGAGGAACACCGGUGGCGAAGGCGGUUCUCUGGGCCUUACCUGACGCUGAGGAGCGAAAGCGUGGGUAGCGAAUAGG
rnacentral:rRNA from 1 species